AUUGCCCUAGUAACGGCGAGUGAAGCGGCAACAGCUCAAAUUUGAAAUCUGGCCUUAGGGUCCGAAUUGUAAUUUGUAGAGGAUGCUUUGGGCGCGGUGCCUUCCGAGUUCCUUGGAACAGGACGCCUUAGAGGGUGAGAGCCCCGUACGGUUGGACACCAAGCCUAUGUAAAGCUCCUUCGACGAGUCGAGUAGUUUGGGAAUGCUGCUCUAAAUGGGAGGUAAAUUUCUUCUAAAGCUAAAUACCGGCCAGAGACCGAUAGCGCACAAGUAGAGUGAUCGAAAGAUGAAAAGUACUUUGAAAAGAGGGUUAAAUAGCACGUGAAAUUGUUGAAAGGGAAGCAUUUAUGACCAGACCUUUGCUAGGUGGAUCAUCCGGUGUUCUUCACCGGUGCACUUCGCCUAGCUUAGGCCAGCAUCGAUUUCUGUAGGGGGAUAAAGGUCUAGGGAACGUAGCUCUCUACGGAGAGUGUUAUAGCCCUGGGCGUAAUACCCCUACGGGGAUCGAGGUUCGCGCUUCGGCAAGGAUGCUGGCAUAAUGGUCAUCAAUGACCCGUCUUGAAACACGGACCAAGGAGUCGAACAUUUAUGCGAGUGUUUGGGUGUUAAACCCUCACGCGUAAUGAAAGUGAACGGAGGUGAGAGCCCUUAAGGGUGCAUCAUCGACCGAUCCUGAUGUCUUCGGAUGGAUUUGAGUAAGAGCAUAACUGUUCGGACCCGAAAGAUGGUGAACUAUGCGUGGAUAGGGUGAAGCCAGAGGAAACUCUGGUGGAGGCUCGCAGCGGUUCUGACGUGCAAAUCGAUCGUCAAAUCUGCGCAUGGGGGCGAAAGACUUAUCGAACCAUCUAGUAGCUGGUUACCGCCGAA
rnacentral:rRNA from 1 species